GCCAGCGGUCUUUGGGGCCGAGUAUUGUCCUAAAAGCCAAAAACCAAAAAUUUAAAUAAAAAAAAAAUCUGGAGAAAGAAGGGGCUUAGGGCAAGCAACCACGUGGCUUCAGGAUUAUAACAAGAUUUCCUUUCGCUCAUGACAAGAUUGCAAAAUAUGUGAACCAGACCGCACAGUCAGGACAGGACUGUAAGCACGCGGGCAAGGCCCCAGGACCAUUGUCACCACCUCCAGAAAGGCUUUUCUGACUUGACAGUUCAUGCCGAGAGACUCCUGUAAUCUGGGAUGACUCCCCAUGUAGACAAUGAGGUUAAUGUUGGUCGUCACCAUUCAGCAGAAGUGGGGUGAUGGAAUAAGCCAAAUCUCUACUGGAUGGAAACAAAGUGUGUUUUCUCCCUACCGGAAAUCUGAUGGGCUUAUGACAUCAUGGCUGGCUGCUGAGCGAUGGAGAGGAUGCCACAAAGAAAUCCGACAUAUCCGAUGGAUUCAGAAAUCACUUUCCCUCCUGCGGCUGGAGGAACAGGCGUGUACAGGCAGGAGAAUCUGAGCUUUGUUUGAAAAAUUAUUCUGGAAAAAGAAAAAAAUAAAACAACCCACAACCCCCAAACAAAAAACAACCAAACCCCAAGUCUUGCCCGACAUUAAAGGCAAUUUUCUUAAAGACAA